rfam:Ktedonobacter racemifer DSM 44963 strain SOSP1-21 Krac_Contig206, whole genome shotgun sequence.
GAGAGCGGAGUGCGGUGAAAGUCGCACGCUCCGUUCGGCGGGGGCCAGGCGAAAAAGGAGUUGCAAAACCACCUCGUCGGCUGGCUACCCGAC